rnacentral:rRNA from 1 species
UACAGAGGUCUCAAGCGUUGUUCGGAUUCAUUGGGCGUAAAGGGUGCGUAGGCGGCGCGGUAAGUCGGGUGUGAAAUCUCGGAGCUUAACUCCGAAACUGCAUUCGAUACUGCCGUGCUUGAGGACUGGAGAGGAGAUUGGAAUUUACGGUGUAGCGGUGAAAUGCGUAGAUAUCGUAAGGAAGACCAGUGGCGAAGGCGGGUCUCUGGACAGUUCCUGACGCUGAGGCACGAAGGUCAGGGGAGCAAACGGG